rnacentral:rRNA from 1 species
CAGCAGCCGCGGUAAUACGAAGGGUGCAAGCGUUAAUCGGAAUUACUGGGCGUAAAGCGUGCGUAGGCGGUUUGUUAAGUCUGCUGUGAAAUCCCCGGGCUCAACCUGGGAAUGGCAGUGGAUACUGGCAAGCUAGAGUGUGUCAGAGGAUGGUGGAAUUCCCGGUGUAGCGGUGAAAUGCGUAGAGAUCGGGAGGAACAUCAGUGGCGAAGACGGCCAUCUGGGACAACACUGACGCUGAGGCACGAAAGCGUGGGGAGCAAACAGGAUUAGAGACCCCUGUAGUCCCUGUCUCUUAUAC